UACGAAGGGGGCUAGCGUUGCUCGGAAUGACUGGGCGUAAAGGGCGCGUAGGCGGAUGGCACAGUCAGAUGUGAAAUUCCCGGGCUUAACCUGGGGGCUGCAUUUGAUACGUGUUGUCUUGAGUUCGGAAGAGGGUCGUGGAAUUCCCAGUGUAGAGGUGAAAUUCGUAGAUAUGCGGAGGAACACCGAUGGCGAAGGCAAUCCCCUGGGCCUGCACUGACGCUCAUGCACGAAAGCGUGGGGAGCAAACAGG
rnacentral:rRNA from 1 species